UCCCUGGUGGCUCAGCUGGUAAAGAAUUCACCUGCAAUGUGGGAGACCUGGGUUCGAUCCCUAGUUUGGGAA
rfam:TPA: Bos taurus chromosome 4, whole genome shotgun sequence.